UAAAUACUAUGUGCAAUGUUUUUUGCUUUUAAAAAUACUAUAAAAGACACCUUUGUAUACAGGUCUUUUAGAUGAUUUCCUAAAAGAAUUCUUAGGUUUAAAUAUGAGAUACAAAUGCUGCAAAAGAUCCUGAAGUUCUAAUAGAGAACAGACUGUCAAGUUUUUAGGUCAAAAAAGUCAUUGCUACCUCACCUGAAAAUCAUGGCCCAAUUCUUACUUUUUUUUUUUUUUGUCUGUGGGGAACUGUAUUACAUUAAGAAUAGAGAAAAGUAAAGUUUCUUGUUUUUUUGUUGCCCUUUCUUGCUCAAGUGCUAUUACCACAGCUACUGGCACUCCAUGGUCUAUGUGCCACAGAUGCAGCAGCAGCUUCAUGUAGAGAAUUAUCCAGUCUAUACUGAGCCACCUCUGGUAGAUCAAACCGUUCCUCAAUUCUACAGUGAGGUGAGGAGAGAAGAUGGCAUACAGGCGGAAGCAUCAGCAAAUGAUACUUUUCCGAAUGCUGAUUCUUCAUCUGUCCCUCAUGGAGCAGUCUAUUAUCCAGUAAUGUCAGAUCCCUAUGGGCAGCCACCUUUGCCAGGUUUUGACUCCUGCCUUCCGGUUGUGCCAGAUUAUUCCUGUGUUCCCCCCUGGCAUCCAGUUGGUACAGCAUA
rnacentral:sRNA from 1 species